GUGAAACCGGCAACACGGACUGACGAUGCUAGAGCGGAACAGUAUAAAAUAUCAUUGUUGGUAGGAGGUCAAUUUGAAGACAGUGCGAGCUAAAAUACCAAAAUCAUUGAAGCUGCUAUUGAGAAUGCUGCUCUCAGUCUUUGGUUUAUCGCGGCAAAUGUGACUUCCUCCCCAACAAACUUCAAUGAUUUUGUGGGAUCACUUACAGCCGAGGCAAUAUGGAUCCACAACAAAGGCUUCAGCAAAUAGAAGAAGAAAGCGAGCUGUGGCGGAAACAUUUUGAGGAUGAGGAACGGCGUAUCGAUGAGGAAUACGCGCGCCGGCUAGCUGAGAUCGAUGCGGAAUUCGAAGAAGCUGCCAGGAGAAUUCGGUUGAAAUUCUAUGCAAGGAAGGAGGCAGCAAAAAGGCAGCUUAGUAAAGAUGAUGCAUCCGGAAAAUCGUCUAAACAAGUCUCCUGUACUACUAGCCAACAAAGCAGUGAAUCCAUUGCACAUCAACCACAAUCAGUACUUCAAUCAAAUUCAAUAGAGGCAUCUGUAGAGGUGCACAAUAAUAAUACAAGAUCGUCAUCAGAGAGAAUACAAUCGUCUGUGCCACAACAUUUGUUAUCAGUCUCUUGUGGUCAGAAUGAACAUUCACUGAAAACAGCAUUGCGGUAAAAAUUACCAUGUUGAUGGUUUAAAUUAAAUGCACAGCACCACUUGAUUUGUGCAGACUACCCAUUGCAUUUAUUUCAAGAAUAAUAAAUGGUGUUGUUUACCAUGGUGAGAGCGCAAUGCAAAAGCAGUAAAAUUAACCGCGUUCCAUGGUAAAUUUGAACGCAAGCAAAAGUCGAAGCUUCUACUAUGAGUUGCGUUUAAAACUACAACAUAUGUGUAUUUAGCUUCAUUAAUAUUUAUGAUUCUAAAAUAUUUUAAAACAUUAGCAAGAUCCUUACACAAUGUAUCUGAACUUGUAAAUUUCCGGAAUACAUGACAGAUUAAAAUUUACUGUCGGUAAUCCGCAAAAUUGCAAAUCCAAAUACAUUAUGUAUGAAUCUUUAAGUUAAUAAUAGAAUUCAAUUCUUACGGCUAAAGCAUUGUUUAUUAAUCAAUAGGUUUUUGCAAAACUAGUUGCAUUAUUAUAUUAUAAAAGGUAAGAAUUUAAUGUUCUUCUCCUAGCGAAGUUGCCAAGCUGCACUUAAUGCUUGUGUUUUAUCUAUUAUUUCUUGGUUCACAAGCUCCUUGCCAUUUGGAGAAAUUUUGAGCUACGGGGUUUCGUUUGUACAAUGUCCUGUAAAAUCGUGUUUGUUAGAAAUUGGAAAAUAUUGAAUGUAUUGCAACCUACCGAUAGAAGUAAAAACAGAGUAGAUCGUCGCUCAAUUUUGUAACAUAAAAAAUGCAGCAGGACGUGACCUAUAGAAUAUUUUUGUUGUAAAUACUAGCCAAAAUCAACCUCUAUUUGCUUACCAUCACUGUGUUGAUCAAACUAGCUCUGUGCAAAAUAAAUAUUAUUAGUUUUGAAUAAUUA